rnacentral:rRNA from 1 species
GGUCAAGCUACAAAGGGCUUACGGAGGAUACCUAGGCACACAGAGGCGAUGAAGGACGUGGUUACCUGCGAUAAGUCUCGGGGAGUUGGAAGCACACUUUGAUCCGGGAAUUUCCGAAUGGGGCAACCCCUUGAACGACCAACUGAAUAUAUAGGUUGGUGCGAGCUAACC